CUUUUGCACAUUGCUAAUUAUUCCUUUAAACCAGGUUUCCAGAAGUUCCCCAGUCAUUGAGCAUUUCUGAGGCUCUUGAUGCAUAUGCCAAGUAGUUAUGGAGAAAGACGCAGCAGCUUACCUCUGCAGGCAUCAUUGUGUGAAAGGAAGACCCAGGCUCUCUCACCACCCUUGAACAGAAGCGUUUUGCUAAGGUGAUAGCUACAUGUCCAAGCCUAUUGCGUGGCAUGCAUUUUGCCUUCUGCAGCCCACUAAAGUCAGUAAAUUGCAGAUGUAAGAUUCAAAACCAGACUUCACAUCUACCGACUUCAGUGACCCUGAAAUUUGUUCACAGAGAGCAUUUAACAUAACUGUCUUCAUCAUCUCCUUCUCUACAUUAAAAAUUAUGGUUCGCAAAGACGUUAUUGGUGAUUCAAUCUUGAGUCAUGAAAAGUCAACCUGGAGCCACAAAAAGUCAACCUUGAGCCAAGCAGAGUGGAGAGUCAUACAUGCCAUUCCUGGGACCAUCAAAAAUGGCAGAGGUCACACAAAAGGCAAAACUUUUAAGAGGUGUUUCAAACGUCGUAUGGGCCAAAGAGAAGCUGGAUUUUCUAUUGGAGUCAGCUGUAACAUACGUGUGACGAAAUUGGCCUGUGAGGACAAGGCAGUGAGCAGAGAGGACAGCAGUCCUUAUGAGAACAAGCUCUAA
rnacentral:lncRNA from 1 species